rnacentral:rRNA from 1 species
UACGAAGGGGGCUAGCGUUGUUCGGAAUUACUGGGCGUAAAGCGCACGUAGGCGGAUAUUUAAGUCAGGGGUGAAAUCCCAGAGCUCAACUCUGGAACUGCCUUUGAUACUGGGUAUCUUGAGUAUGGAAGAGGUAAGUGGAAUUGCGAGUGUAGAGGUGAAAUUCGUAGAUAUUCGCAGGAACACCAGUGGCGAAGGCGGCUUACUGGUCCAUUGCUGACGCUGAGGUGCGAAAGCGUGGGGAGCAAACAGG